UCCUAUGGAUGAGCAAAAAAAGUGGUUUCCUGAGAUGGAAUCUACUCCUGAUGAAGAUGCUGCGAA
rnacentral:pre_miRNA from 1 species